rnacentral:lncRNA from 1 species
CUCAUCUUUACUUUUGAAAAUUGAAACAGUAUAUCAGAUUUUUCUAUAGUGAAAAAAAAUCCAAUUUCUCUCUCAUCUUUUUUUUUACCAUAAAAGAAUUUUUUUCCUUAUGGAAACUUCAGCGCGUAUAGUUUGGAAGUUGUUCUGUUUCAAAGAAGCCUGCCCUUCUGAUUGUAAAGAAAAUGUCCAGAACACUCUGGAGGGAAUUCUAGUGAAUGCUGUAUCUUUCCAGACUUUUGAAGAGUCUGCCAGAAUGGAGUCUGCUGCUGCGGGCAAGUCUUGGGAAGGAAGAGCCUGCCACAGAAGAUUCACAUCGCCCUCUGAAGCAACCCCCUCCCUUCUGGUAGUGUUUUGCUGCAAACAGGACAGGCUCAACAGGGGGAUCUGAAUCACAGUUUUACAGCUGGUGCCCUGAAGGCUUUCUUUGUUAUUAAACCUGGAUUAGAAUUAGGAUAAUCCUGCCUCAGGUGUGGGAUACCCAGACAGCCUGAUGUUGGCUUCAUUAGGAGAUCCUGAACCUCCAUCAGGGCUAUUGCCACUGCUUGUAACAAGCAGUGAUGUUCUAUAUGGUGUUUCAACACUAAGAGAAGGAGGCUCUUCAGUGACAGAUUCUGUCUCUAGGACAUGGAAGGCAACAGGGUGGUGGUUAAGAAUAUCUCAGAUUUCAGCUGUAAGGUAAUGCGAUGCCUGCUGUCCUAGAGAAUGCAUUAAAUGAGGCCAAAUUAGGCUCCAAGUUCAUUAAACUGUCUGGGAAAUGUAUAUCCACCUUAUAAGGUAAGAAACUUCUCCUCUUAAUCCUUCUCAGUUUCCAGUCUUGACCAAACUGUUGCUGGACAUCUGUAGCCUCACUUGGUAAAAGGAUGAAGAAAGCUGAUAAAAAGGAACACAUCAUCUCCCUCUUGCACCAAACAUCAUACCGAGUCCCUCUUUUUUUGUAGCCUCUUCAUGGGCCUUCUCCUACGUUCCUUUCCACCUCUGGUUUACUAAUGAACUAGAUCUUCUAUGGAAUGAGUAUUUGUAUUGAACUCCUGCUAAUUUGUGAUGUUUUGAACUUAACUUCUCGAUCUAUCCAACAUAUCCUUCACCUGCUGUGGGGAAGGAAAAUACAUCUUAAAGGAGACACAUUUCCAUUUUGCUCCUGCUGUUGAGAAAAAGUCCUCUGGCCCACAUCCUGCAGAAUUACAUUCCUUUCAUCUGGCUUUUGAAGAACAGUGGGGACUUUCAAACUGAGUGGGCUUAAGAAAUAUUUUAUGGUAAACUGCUAAAUGAAUAAGCCAGCCAAAAUGUACUCGGUUUUUAAACGACACGUGUUAAUGUUUAGGUAAACAAAACAUAAAUUCAGCUGGAUCCUUCAUCAGGAAGAAACCUCAGAUAAUAACCCCUUGUUA